rnacentral:rRNA from 1 species
CCUACGGGGGGCAGCAGUGGGGAAUAUUGCACAAUGGGGGCAACCCUGAUGCAGCGACGCCGCGUGAAGGAAGAAGUCUUUCGGUAUGUAAACUUCUAUCAGCAGGGAAGAAAAUGCCGGUACAUGACUAAGAAUCACCGGCUAAAUCCGUGCCAGCAGCCGCGGUAAUACGUAGGGGGCAAGCGUUGUCCGGAUUUACUGGGUGUAAAGGGAGCGUAGGCGGUUUAGCAAGUCAGAAGGGAAAGCCCGGGGCUCAACUUGGGGACUGCGUUUGAAACUGUUGAACUAGAUUGCAGGAGAGGGAAGUGGAAUUCCUAGUGUAGCGGUGAAAUGCGUAGAUAUUAGGAGGAACACCAGUGGCGAAGGCGGCUUACUGGACGGUAAAUGACGCUGAGGCUCGAAAGCGUGGGGAGCAAACAGGAUUAGAUACCCGAGUAGUC